GAUGAAUGUCAUGCAUUCUGGGUAGUUUAGUCUUAUAACCAGCUGUCUUGCCUAGUCUAUUUAAGUUCAGCUGCUCUAGCUGAGAAUUUUCUCUUAUUAAACCCUGCUUCCCUCUUGUCUGGAGGAAAAAGAAAAAAGAGAACCAGACUUAGACACAACUUCUUGUGGGCACAUAUUCAGAAGGCAUCUCACUGGAGAGGGUUUAGUUCUCCUUAGCAGAAGAUAAGAUUUCAAGAUUUCAGCUAAGACUCAUCUCUCUGCAAAUCUUUCUUUUGAGAGCAUCUUCACCAGGAGGAGAUUCCAUCUCAAGAGACCACUUUCACUGCUCAUAUGUAAGAAGCAACUCUUCAUCUGUUCAAGUUUGAUCAUGAGAGUGCGGCAAUUCAGUCACAACUUCAGGCUCCACUUCUAGUUCUAGUUCUCUUGCUGUUUCCACCACAUCUACAGCGACUUCCUCCACUGAAGACGUGAACCCCUGAAAGUCAUCUAUGGGGGUUGGAAUCAAUGUCUUUCACACUCCUGUUAAUGUUGGUAUUUUGACCUCCUCCCAUGAAUUACAAAUGUUCCUAAUGGCAUCUAGAAUAAUGACUACUUUCCAGAAGCUUUUCAAUUUGCUUUGCUCAGAUCCAUCAAUGGAAUCACUAUCAAUGGUAGCUAUAUAAACUAUAUAAGGCUAUAUAUAUAUAUAUAGCUAUUUCUUAAUAGCCUUAUGAAAUAUAUUUCUUAAUAAGACUUGAAAGUCUUGGUCCAUGGACUGCAGAAUGGAUGUUUGUGUUAGCAGGGAUGAAAACAACAUGAAUAUUCUCGUACAUCUCCAACACAGCUCUUGAUCGACAUGGUGCAGAGCAGUAAUAUUUUGAAAGGAAUCUUUUUUUCUGAGCAAUAGUUCUCAAUAGUGGGCUUGAAAUAUUCAGUAAACCAUGCUGUAAACAGAUGUGUUGUCAUCCAGGCUUUAUUGUUCCAUUUAUGGAGCACAGAUAGAGUAGAUUUCGCAUAAUUCUUAAUGACACCAGGAUUUACAAAAUAGUAAAUGAACAUUUACUUCAACUUAAAGUCAUCAGCUGCAUUCACCUCUAAAAAGAGAGUCAGCCUGUCCUGUGGAGCUUUGCAGCUUGCCUUGACAUCUCCUCUCUAGCUGUGAAAGUCCUGGAUGGCAUCUUCUUCCAACAUAAGACUGUUUUGUCUACACUGAAAAUCUGUUGUUUCGUGUAGACACUUUCAUCAAUUAUCUUAUCUAGAUUUUCUGGAUAACUUGCCACAGCUUCUCCCUUUGCACUUGCUGCUUCAUCUUGCAUUUUUAUGUUAUGGAGAUGUUGUCUUUCAUUAAACCUCACAAACCAACCUCCGCUAGCUUCAAACUUUUCUUCUGCAGCUUCCUCACCUCUCUCCGCCUUCAUAGCAUUGAAGAGAGUUAGAGUCUUGCUCUGGAUUAGGCUUUGACUUAAGGAAAUGUUGUGGCUGGUUGGAUCUUUUCUCCAGACCACUCAAACUUUCUCCAUAUUAGCAAUAUGGCUGCUUUGUUUUCUCUUCAUUUGCAUGUUCCCUGGAGUAGAGCUUAAAUAUCCUUCAAGAACUUUUCCUGUGAAGUCGCAAUUUGGCUAACUGGUGCAGAGGUGAGCUUUUGGCCUUGACUUUCAAUAUGUCCUCCUUACUAAGCUUAAUCAUUUCUAGAUUUUGAUUUAAAGUGAGAGACGUGGGACUUUUCCCUUCACUUGAACACUUAGAGGCCAUUGUAGGGUUAUUAAUUGGCUUAAUUUCAAUAUUAUUGUGUCUUGGGCUGGGCACAGUGGCUCAUGCCUGUAAUCCCAGCCCUUUGGGAAGCUGAGGCAGGUGGAUUGUUUGAGUCUAGGAGUUUAAGGCCAGCCUGGGCAACAUGGCAAAACCCUGUCUCUCCUAAAAAUACAAAAAAAAAAUUAGCCGGGUGUGAUGGUGCACACCUGUAGUCCCAGCUUGGGAGGCUGAAGUGGGAGAAUCACCUGAGCCUGGGGAGGCAGAGGUUGCAGUGAGCUGAAAUCACAUCAUUGCACUCCAGCCUGGGCAAUCAGAGUGCGACUCUGCCUCAAAAAAAAAAUAUAUAUAUAUAUAUAUAUAAUUGUUAUAAAUAUAUAUAUAUAUAAUUGUUAUAUAUACAUUAUUGUGUCUCAGGAACAGGCAGUCCAUGGAGCAGUCAGAACACACACAACAUUUAUUGAUUGUUUGCCAUCUUACAUGGGUGCACUUCAUGGUGCCCCAAAACAACUACAAUAGUGACAUCAAAGAUCACUGAUCACAGAUUACCAUAACAGAUAUAGAAAUAAUGACAAAGUUUGAAAUAUUGGGAGAAUUACCAAAAUGUGACACAGAGAUGUAAAACAAGCACAUGCUGUUGGAAAAACAGCACCAAUAGACUUGCUCGAGGCAGGGUUGCCACAAACCUUCAAUUUGUAAACAACAACAACAACAACAAAAACAAUAUCUGUAAAGCACAAUAAGACAAGGUAUGUCUAUAUUUGCCCUUUUUCCUAACACUCCUCUCCCACUUCUCAAUGCUAGUCCAUGCCUAGAAGAGGGAGGUACAAGAAUUCCCCACAAGGUAGACCACUAGGCACGUGCUGUGGAGGAUGGAGCAGGAGGGGACAUAGGGACAGAAUGCACCCCCUCCUCUAGGCAGGGCCCUCCAGAAUCCAGUCAACCCUAAGGCCCCAUUGAAACAAUGACUGGAGAGAAAUGAAAUAAUUUCAUAUUGUGAGCUGAUUACAUUAGGAUGUGUUAUAAGGGAUAGUAUGAAAUAAGAUGUUAGUCCAUGCCCUUACCCUUGCUUGCUGAGCUGCUGGGCCUGCAGAGCCUUUCAGGUGCUGGGAGGGAGAGGUUUUUCCCAGCAUAACCCUCGGCUCACAUCUCACUGUGGCUCCAGGCUGGGGCUGCCAAGGCCGGACCUUGCAUUACAGGACUCUGUUUACACACACACACACACACACACACACACACACACACACACACACACAGAGUGCCGAAGUGGCAAUGUCUGAAGAAAUUUCCAGCCUCAUUCCUCCCAUGCCUGGAACCAAUCUCUUCUCCUCAAUUCAUGCACUGUCU
rnacentral:lncRNA from 1 species